UACAGAGGGUGCAAGCGUUAAUCGGAAUUACUGGGCGUAAAGCGCGCGCAGGCGGUCUUCCAAGUCAGUGGUGAAAGCCCGGAGCUCAACUCCGGAACUGCCAUUGAAACUGUGAGACUGGAGUACGAGAGAGGUGAGUGGAAUUCCCAGUGUAGAGGUGAAAUUCGUAGAUAUUGGGAAGAACACCGGUGGCGAAGGCGGCUCACUGGCUCGUAACUGACGCUCAGGCGCGACAGCGUGGGGAUCAAACAGG
rnacentral:rRNA from 1 species